GAGGGAACCAGUGUGAGAGCUCAGCAGCCAGCCAGCCUGAUGAAGGGAGGCCCGCGCCGAACAGAAACAGUACCUUUAUUCCUGCAAGCUAAGUCUUCUAUAGCCGCUUUAUAAAGAUGCAGUUUCUAAGCAAUGCCAGGCUCACACUGCGGCUAUGAUGGUUUGCCCGGAAUCGGUCAGUCCUCCAAGGAAGCUGGUUCCUUUUUGUGAAGAGUGGUGUUGAGAAAACCAGAUCGGAGGGCUAGGCGUGCUGCUCACUGUUUAUGGAUCGUCACUGUGCUCAGACCUCCUCACUGGACAGUCAGGCAAAAUAUAUAUGUCUAUGCUACAAAAGGCCUGUUAGAAAGUGGGGGAAAAUUGCUGGUCUCACAAAGAUCAUUUCAGCUCUAUCCGGGCCCACUGGACAGCUAACACCAGCAGAAUCAUUUUGGACCAAGAGGGUCAGCAAGAUGGUGCGUUACUGGGAACUGCAGUUAUGUCUUACCAGCCAGAGGAUAAAAUCAAAAUACAGGGAAAA
rnacentral:lncRNA from 1 species